UACCUAAAUGAAAAAUCUAUUGGAAAAUACUAAAGAAAAUUCGAAUGAAAAAUAGAAUAAAUGUGAAGUGAAAAUCCCAAAAGAUAGUAGGAAAUGUUGUAAUUUAUUUUUAUGAAGCCUCCUUGCGAAAGAAAAUUUCCUAUCAUAAUUCUGUGAGAGUGUGUGUGUGCGUGGUUUUUUUUAACAUAUACCCUCCUAACCGUGUUUGCAACUUCUUCCAUUGCCUAUCAACGUUGGGUUUUGUACUCGUUUCGUUUGGCUGGCUGCCUGGCUAGCUGAUUCUUAUGGAGGUCUUGUUAAGAGGCCCUUUACUUUGUCGCCGACCAGAGUUUGAGUGCGUGCCUACAUAUCUUUGGCAUUUGAAAUCAUUGAUGCUUUAAAGUGUCUGCAGAAAACAGCGAGAAUCCGUGCAAUGCAGAAGUGAAAUACGAUAAAAAUUAAUGAAGAGAAAAAA
rnacentral:sRNA from 1 species